UACGGGGGGGGUAAGCGUUGUUCGGAAUUACUGGGCGUAAAGGGCUCGUAGGCGGCCAACUAAGUCAUACGUGAAAUCCCUCAGCUUAACUGGGGAACUGCGUGUGAUACUGGAUGGCUUGGAUUUGGGAGAGGGAUGCGGAAUUCCAGGUGUAGCGGUGAAAUGCGUAGAGAUGUGGAGGAAUACCGAUGGCGAAGGCAGCCCCCUGGGAUGAUACUGACGCUCAUACACGAAAGCGUGGGGAGCAAACAGG
rnacentral:rRNA from 1 species